GUUUUCAUGAGUUUCGGCGGGGGCGAAAUAGGAUCGACGAGGGCGUAAAGACUGUGCUUUUGCUCGGCAUUGUACCACCGUUAUCGGGCUAAACUUGUAGUUGCAAAUGACAACUAUGCUUCGGACAUGGCUGUUGCUGCGUAACGCAGUACCGGUAGUCCACUAAAGCCCUGGCGGGUAGCACCGUCAGGCGGGGUUCGGAGGCACCUGGCAACAGAAGCCUCCACU
rnacentral:tmRNA from 1 species